CCUACGGGUGGCAGCAGUGAGGAAUAUUGGUCAAUGGGCGGGAGCCUGAACCAGCCAAGUCGCGUGAGGGAAGACGGUCCUAUGGAUUGUAAACCUCUUUAGGCGGGGAGCAAUGCCGGGCACGCGUGCCCGGAGGGAGAGUACCCGCAGAAUAAGCAUCGGCUAACUCCGUGCCAGCAGCCGCGGUAAUACGGAGGAUGCGAGCGUUAUCCGGAUUUAUUGGGUUUCAAGGGUGCGUAGGCGGAUUUUUAAGUCAGCGGUAAAAUGUCCGGGCUCAACCCGGGCCGGCCGUUGAAACUGGGGAUCUUGAGUGGGCGAGAAGUAUGCGGAAUGCGUGGUGUAGCGGUGAAAUGCAUAGAUAUCACGCAGAACUCCGAUUGCGAAGGCAGCGUACCGGCGCCCAACUGACGCUGAAGCACGAAGGCGUGGGUAUCGAACAGGAUUAGAUACCCGUGUAUC
rnacentral:rRNA from 1 species